rnacentral:misc_RNA from 1 species
UUAAGUUCAGCGGGUAGUCCUACCUGAUUUGAGGUCAAGCAUUCAAGAAAUUGUCUCGUUGAGACGAUUAGAAGCUGAACAACAGAGAGCAAUCCCCUCGCCAGUGUAGAUAAUUUAUCACACUUGUGGCAGAUCGCAAACAGUUCCGCUAAUGCAUUUCAGAGGAGCUGACCCCAACAAGUGGCCAGCAAACCUCCACA